rnacentral:rRNA from 1 species
UAAGCCAUGCGAGUCAAUAGUUCUUCGUGAACUAGGCGGACGACUCAGUAACACGUGGGUAAUCUACCCUCAGGACAGGGAUAACCCCGGGAAACUGGGGAUAAUACCUGAUAGGUGGAGAGGUCUGGAAUGAUCCUCCGCCCAAAGCUCCGGCGCCUGAGGAUGAGCCUGCGGCCGAUUAGGUUGUUGGCGCUGUAACGGACCACCAAGCCUGAGAUCGGUACGGGCACUGAGAGGUGGAGCCCGGAGAUGGGGGCUGAGAAACGGCCCCAGGCCCUACGGGGCGCAGCAGGCGCGAAAACUCCGCAAUACGCGAAAGCGUGACGGGGGGACCCCAAGUGUCAUGCCUUCGGGUAUGACUUUUGCAGAGUGUAAACAGCUCUGCGAAUAAGAGCUGGGUAAGACCGGUGCCAGCCGCCGCGGUAACACCGGCAGCUCAAGUGGUGGCCACUAUUAUUGGGCCUAAAGCGUCCGUAGCCUGCUCGGUAAGUCCUUGGGAAAAUCCGCUCGUUCCACGAACGGGACCCUGAGGAUACUGCCGAACUUGGGAACGAGAGAAGUCGGAAGUACUCCUGGGGUAGCGGUGAAAUGCUGUAAUCCUGGGGGGACUACCA